UGGGUUGUCCCAGGGGAGGGACAAAAAUGUGACUUGUAAUAGCUUGAGUUGAUUUCAUUUUUCCGUGUCGGAUCCCCAUCCCUGGCUUCAUUGAACUCAGCUACUGGGUUACCAAUUACCACCCCUUCAAGUUUUCUAACAACUCAGGGUACUUUUUCUGAUCUCCUGCUGGUACAGAUAAGAACAAAUGCCACUGAAGCUGGUGGAAUUACACAGCUGCACUACUGGUAUAAGUAGAAAGCACAGCAGCUGUUGCUAAUGAAAAUGCAUUGGGGCAUCAUUUCCUACUCACAGGCGGAUAGAAGUUUUUGCUGGUCAAGGAGAUUCAUUUGGAUUAUGAAAGUCUCAGAUUACAGAAGGCACUGACAAUACAGUAAAUGAGUAUCGUGGGACAUGAACCUGUUUUGGAUAAAUGUGAUUCAGAUGAUGAGCCGGAUUUGGAAGUCCAUUUCCAUGCAAUUUCUUAGCAAACCUCUGACUGCAGCUUCCAGCUGCAGCCAAAGCAGAACCCAAGAGUACAGAAAGGCCAACAGAGCCCCUUCCUCAGAAAUAACAGCACAACAUUUACAUCUGUUGUUACUCUGGAGAGAGCAGAGAUGGGCCUGAACCAAAACCCAGCCUCACAUUCCUUCCUUCUGUGAACUUUAGAGAAGUUUGGAUCCACAUCGAGUCCAGUCUUUAACCAGACGAAACGAAGCCCCCACAUCUAAACUCCUCUGAAAUCCUGGAACGCUGAGAUUUGGAUCCCAACAUUGCCCUGUGGGCUCAUCUCUACUCUUCCCCCUUAGCCAAUGGAAAAGAGAGAAAGUUGAGAUCAUCCUGUUGGCAGAGCUGUUUUCUGUCCUUUGACUGAGAAGAGGAAGGAAUGGAGGCUGUGAAAUCAAGAGAAUUUGAUCCAGCAGUGCCCUUAAGCAGACAAGCACCUAAUGUAGGAAGCAGAAUUUCCUGCAACAACCAGUGUUAGCAAAAAAAUGAAAACCAGUGAGAGCCAGAAGUAGUCAUGGAGCAUUAAGCAGGUAAACCCAUUAAAAGGGACCAUCUCUUUCCAUUGGGAUUAUAGUGACAUUUAAGCCUUUGCUUCCUGAUUUUGAGCGCUGAGUGUUUUUGGAGGAGUGUAAUGGCUAUUAGCAGACUCCUCCUUCCUUUCUUCCUCUUUUGGGACUUAAAGCCAGGAACUGGGAUGCACAUCUGAACAUGAAGUGGCCGGCAGAGUUGCCAAAGAUAUCCCCGCUAGCCAGAACAAAUGUGUGCAUGUGCUUAGAAAUAGUACGGUGGAGACAAACUUCUAGAGCGAGCAAAGACACAAAA